rnacentral:lncRNA from 1 species
GCUCAAAGGCUGCCCGGCGCGGACGCCCGCACUUCCUGGCACAAGCGGGCUAGCCAGCCGCAGCUGGGGCCGCGGGGCCGGGCUCGCCGCCCUCUCCCUUCUCCCUUCUCCCUUGAGUAAUAGGGGCGGAGCCGGGCGGGCCGGCGCGCGGGGCUCCAGCCCCUCUCUCGGUGGUCACCUGCGGCCGGGCGCAGCAGGUGUCCGGUCUGCCACCCGGCGCUGGGAACUAGGAGCGCUAGCCAGGAGCCGCGGCACUUCGGAGCUUAUUCACAUAAGCAUUCUGGUAUGCCAGGUACCAAGAAUAAGAUCACUGAAGGCAGUAAAACUGAAAUUGGAAGAUUAUCAGCCAAGAAAGACCUACUGGCAAAAGCAGAGUAAGUAUGUUAAGCAUUAUGUGUUGUGAAGAGUUAAUUGGGUUUCAAAUAGGAAACCGGAGACUGGAUCAGUGAAGAAAAUCAUGGUUUGUUUCCCUCAGAUCCUGCUAAUUCCUCCAAACCAGCC